rnacentral:rRNA from 1 species
AACGAACGCUGGCGGCAGGCUUAACACAUGCAAGUCGAGCGCCCCGCAAGGGGAGCGGCAGACGGGUGAGUAACGCGUGGGAAUCUACCCAUCUCUACGGAAUAACGCAUGGAAACGUGUGCUAAUACCGUAUACGUCCUUCGGGAGAAAGAUUUAUCGGAGAUGGAUGAGCCCGCGUUGGAUUAGCUAGUUGGUGGGGUAAAGGCCUACCAAGGCGACGAUCCAUAGCUGGUCUGAGAGGAUGAUCAGCCACACUGAGACUGAGACACGGCCCAGACUCCUACGGGAGGCAGCAGUGGGGAAUAUUGGACAAUGGGCGCAAGCCUGAUCCAGCCGUGCCGCGUGAGUGAUGAAGGCCCUAGGGUUGUAAAGCUCUUUCACCGGUGAAGAUAAUGACGGUAACCGGAGAAGAAGCCCCGGCUAACUUCGUGCCAGCCGCCGCAGUAAGAC